UGGCCCCCAUGUGCAUAGCAAUGUACUCUAUUUUUUUCUAUUUAUUUUGUAUAUAUAGACAAUACACAGAAACUUGUUUUAUAGAUCAUAAUAUUGUGUUGUGGCAUAUUGAACUAUUUCAGCACAAUUUAUCCCCAUACAUUCACAAAAUGAAUAUUGCAGGAUAUUGUUUGUCUCGAUCUUCAUUUUGGUAAUACAAAGGAACAAAAAUCUUGCGUUUCAAGAUCAACUUCUUUCUGGGAUUUUUUACCACUGUCUGGUCAAACUUAUCUUCAGUCAUCUGUGUGUGUAUGUCUAGGUUUCUCUAUACUGCUUUCGCAAUGUUUUUAUAUGCAAUACAUGCAUACAAGACAUUCCACUCACACAAGAAGAUAAUAGCAUGCUGUUUUUUUUUAGCUAGGUGUUGCCUUUUCAUUACAAGUGGUUGUCAACACAUUCCGCUGAUAGUUAUAUCACAUUAGGAAAGUCAUUUUUAGGCUAUGCACAAAACACCCAUAUAGUAUAUGUGGGUCAGAUUAGUAGAUCUUUCAAAAUUUCUGCAUAUCUAUUAUUUCUUUCAGCCUCUCUACAGUUAUUGUGUUUUUAAGUACAGGUCAUCUUGCUUGUACAUGCUUCAACGCCUGUUCUGUAUUCUAGGCACAUACAUCAGUUUAAUAUCAAGCGUUGCUUUAUGCAAUGUUUAAAGAAAACAUACCAUCAUGCUUCAUGUUAUUUUGAAUUAAAACUCUAAUCCACCCUUUUUUGUUCCAGAGAAUAAGUGUCAGGAACACCUUCACUCAUAGAUAAAUAUGAAGGACAGUGUUACAGAAUAGAAACAUCUAUUAUCAUCCAUCCAUCCAUCCUUUUUGUACAGUAUGGUCACAGGAGUCCCGGAAGACAGAGGUGCAGGGCAGGGUAUACAUGCAUACAUAUAUAUUUACACACACACAAACACACAGGUGAGCAAUUAUAUCUUCGUGGGGACUCUCCAUUAAUUUCUAUGGAGAAAACUCUAAUCCCAACAUGAUGACCAUAACCCCUUCCUAGCCCUAACCUUAACCAUUACUAAUCAAACAAAAUACAAGACUUUUUGCAUUUUUAGUUUUUUGAUUGCAUUCACAAAUCUUUGUGGGGACCUGAAAAAUGGUCCUCACAACAUCAAAAUAACAGGUUUUUAUCAUAUUGUGUGUGUGUGUUUCAUUCCUUGUAUUAAAUUAGUCAUUUGUAUUGACAUUCCUGACUAAAAUGAAAAAAAACAGAACCUAAACAUAACUAACACAGGGGUGGCAAGCCUGAUCCAUGGAGAGCCACAGUUAGGUACAGGUUUUUUGGAUGACUUCUUAAUCAGCCAAUAACAGUGGGCCCCCAGGAUUGUUUUAUUAUUGACUGACUGGGAGUCAUUCCUUUUAUGGUUGAUGAGUAUUAUAAGAAAGUGAUAAGUGGCUGUAGUAAUAUUUACACCUGUUAUAAAUUUGUCAUACAGUAGGCAUGUUUUUGAUUUAUUUUGGAAAUGCGUAUCGCUUUCGAUAAAGAUGUCAGCUGAUUAAAAUGUAAUGUAGAAGGUAUACAAAAUUUCAAAUAUGACCUGACCAGUGCCAGUUCCCUCCUCCUUGAUGAACUUAGGCAACCUCACUGUCAAAAUCUCAAAUUGCUUAUCAAGAACAGAUUCCACCAUUAGCAGAGAUUUCUGAAUCAACAUACAGGUGUAAAUAAGACAAAGUUUGGGUUUAGGCAGCAGAGCUUUUCCCUCUGGUUUAUGCUAAAAGCUGGAAUGAGUAGUUGAAGAGGUUGCAGUGUCUAUGUAUGGCACAACUGAGAGCAGUGACUUGGACAGGGGUAGAUGGGGGGGGUUUUACACUGGCUCUGUUUGCAUGUGCUCAUUGUCUGACUAUUUCCUGCCAGCAUCAGUAGCAGUAUCAGCAGACAUACAUUAUUGUUUGUUUAUGAGAAACUUAAAUUUUAAUUUCUUUAGCAAUUUCAGCAUGAGCAAACAUUCAAAUGUUCACACAUUGCUCUUCCACAAAACUUAUGUUUAUUUAAAUUGCUGAUUGACCUUAAUUAUUCCUUCUGGUCCUCUAAAUUUACAUGCUCAAAAAAUAUGUUUGCAUAUUUUUCAUAUAGACAUAUACACAUAAAUAUUUUGCAAUUUAGCAUAAAGCAAAUAUCUAAUAUAUUUAUAUAUAAGUAUAUAUAUAAGUAAAACAUACUCAAAAAUGUGUUUGUACAACAUGGUGGCCCAGCAAGUAGUGCUGCUCCAGUUUUUCCAGGCAAAGUAUGGCCUCAGUUUGCAAGUUUCCCUUACAGUCCUGUGGAUUUAAACUUUAUUGCUCCCUGAGGGGAAAUCAAGGAAGGAGGGGUACAAGCCUAGCGGCAUAUGAGAGUAUAUAAAUCACUCUGAAUUUUUGGAUGGAUGGGAAUUCCAUACACACUAAAUAAGAAUGCAGGAUUCAAACACCUGCAUGUAGUGAUGGGACGCAACUGUGCUAACGGGUGCAAAUCAGGGAGCCACCCCAGCUGAUACACCAGCCCUCCCUGGCUUCCAGUGAGGAUGGAAAUACAAAGACCUGACUGCUUUCUGUGAAUCCCGCAGACAACAUUCCUGGACCUCAUCGACAUUGUGGAAAAUGUAGACAAGGCCUGAUAGAAAGGGUUGCAGUGGGACUGGAGCCUUUAGGCACGGAGCAACCCAAGAUGGGGAGCCAACCCAUUGCAGGGCACACACACAUACAGGCAAUUUGGUAACUCCAAUUAACCUAAGCAUGCUUUGGACUGCGGGGGUGAAAACCAGAGUACCCAAAGGAAAUUCCACAGCAACACAGGGAGAACAUGCAAGCACCACAAACUUGGAACCUGGGCAGAGUCUCAAGUCCCACUGGUGAGAGGUGACAGGGCUAACUAUGUAACUACCAUGCCAUCUCUUUCUUAAAUGUCUGAUACUCUAAAUAUUUUAUAUAAAUCUUCUCACAGUUCCAGUUUCAUUUCAAACAUGUCACUAAAAAAAUGCAUGAUUUUGUUCCAACAAAUAUCAGCAGUCAACAUGCCUGAUUAAUGUACUAAGGUAUAUUUACAUUUUAUAACUGUAUCAUGCUGUUAUCUUUUUCUGUCUUUUUUUGUCCAAACACUAUACUGGUUCGGUGCAUAGCUAUUCAGUUUUCAAUUUGUUUGUUUUUUGUUUUUUUGCCUGUGGCAUAUAUAGCCUUCAUAUUGGCCACAUAAUUAUGGUUACAAUUAAAGGUUUUAUUAUUGAAGCAA